GAGCCAGCGCCCCCAGCGUGUGCUUGCCCCGGCCAAACAGGAGGUGGCGGAAGGGGGUUUCCACGGGGGACACGUACGGCGAGAGGAGGUUGCGUUCCACCUGGCGAAGAAUGGGAAAGAGCACCCUAAGAUGGCCAUAGGUGUGUACGCAUACCGGAAUCGAUGAAUCCUUCAAUGACACCAAACACAUUGUGGAUCUCCGUGUUGACCAGCACGUUAUUGACCUCCACGCUGAUCUUCUCCACACCACCCAUCUGCUUUGGGCCGCCGAUUCGCCUGCACAAAGAGUUCAUUUUGGUUUUAGUUGUGAUUGAAUGCUAAAGCCACCCGACUACAGUAGCGACUGUGCUUUGUAAGGCAGGCAGGCGAAAGGUUUACUUGAGACGCUCGUCGAAAGCGACGUCCGUGAGUUUGU